GGAGGGGUGAAGAUAGCCCUGCGACCAUGCCGAGCUCGGAAGAAAACCAAGUGGGGAGGGGGUACUGGUCAGCUCUCGGUUUCCAGGCUCCUUCUCCAUCUCCGGGAGGGGACUCCCUGUCAACGAGGCUUGCGCGCCCCCUGCUGGCAGGCCUGCUGGCACUGCACCUUGGGCUUCGGAGACUCCCAGCCCCUGUAACCAAUGUCCAUAAAAGGUGGGGUAUCCAAACUGGGAGGACCCUCAGAGAUCAUCCACCCAUGCCUUACCGAUGAGACAGGAGGCCCUGUGUAGGGUAGGGAGCUGGCACAGCGUAGGAAUUCGGGGCCCUGGAUCGGAGGCGAGGCUCUGUCAAUGCCUCGGGCUGGGAGUCACACUUGGCCUUCUUCCUGUGCCUGGAAAUCACCUGCCUUUGUCCACUUGGAGCCUUUGCAAACACUCUUCCUCCUGCUCCAUUUUCGCAUGGCUGGUCCUUACCAGCCAUUGGAGGUCACCUCUCUGGGGGAGCCUGCCCAGACUGCUGGCUAAGCUUCCCUCUGUGCCUUGUCCAGGCACUCCAUAGCGCUCUCCUGCUUUUUCUCCCCGGCACCUACCACUGCCAGAGCUUGAGUGAUUGGGUCAUUGUUUGCCGCCCCCCUCCUGCCUCUCAGACUGGGCCAGCUGCCUUGUCUGUUGUGAGCCAAAUGCCUGAUGUCUGCCAGUGUCCCGUACGCAGGAGGCCCCCAGGAAUUUUUACCUGUGGACUCCGCAGAGGCUUCCAGUGCAUGGAGAGAGCUGGUGUUUGGAGCCAGACUGUCCUACCUUGAACUUGAGUUAGAAUUCCAAGUCCUGAGGACGCCUGGGUGACUCAGCUGGUGAAGCUGGCUAAGCAUUUGCCUCAGGCUUGGGUCAUGAUCUCAGGGUCCUGGGAUGGAGCCCCGAAUCUGGCUCCCCACUUAGUGGGGAGUUUGCUUCUCUUUCUCCCGCUGCCCCCCUCACCCAUUUGUGUGCUCUCUCUCAAAUAAAUCAAUAAGAUCUAAAAANNNNNNNNNNNNNNNNNNNNAAAAAAAAAAAAACCCAAAA
rnacentral:lncRNA from 1 species